rnacentral:rRNA from 1 species
GUAGCUUGCUACCGGACCUAGCGGCGGACGGGUGAGUAAUGCUUAGGAAUCUGCCUAUUAGUGGGGGACAACAUCUCGAAAGGGAUGCUAAUACCGCAUACGUCCUACGGGAGAAAGCAGGGGAUCUUCGGACCUUGCGCUAAUAGAUGAGCCUAAGUCGGAUUAGCUAGUUGGUGGGGUAAAGGCCUACCAAGGCGACGAUCUGUAGCGGGUCUGAGAGGAUGAUCCGCCACACUGGGACUGAGACACGGCCCAGACUCCUACGGGAGGCAGCAGUGGGGAAUAUUGGACAAUGGGGGGAACCCUGAUCCAGCCAUGCCGCGUGUGUGAAGAAGGCCUUAUGGUUGUAAAGCACUUUAAGCGAGGAGGAGGCUACUUUAGUUAAUACCUAGAGAUAGUGGACGUUACUCGCAGAAUAAGCACCGGCUAACUCUGUGCCAGCAGCCGCGGUAAUACAGAGGGUGCGAGCGUUAAUCGGAUUUACUGGGCGUAAAGCGUGCGUAGGCGGCUUAUUAAGUCGGAUGUGAAAUCCCCGAGCUUAACUUGGGAAUUGCAUUCGAUACUGGUGAGCUAGAGUAUGGGAGAGGAUGGUAGAAUUCCACGUGUAGCGGUGAAAUGCGUAGAGAUCUGGAGGAAUACCGAUGGCGAAGGCAGCCAUCUGGCCUAAUACUGACGCUGAGGUACGAAAGCAU